CCAUUCCUAGACCUUCUCAGUCUCUUAGCCAAUGAACAGCCUUGAUUUUAAAGCAAUUUUUAUUUGAGUUUUUGCUUCUGGAAGCCAAAACAAACAUUUUAGCCUAUGGAAUCCCAAUUUAUACUUAACGUUUUUAUUUGUUAAUCUUUAAGUUUCAGAAUUCUUUUCUGAUUAUAAAAAUAAUACAUACUUAUUGUAGAGAACCAAGAAAACAUUGAAAGAUAUAAAGAAGAACAUUAAGACCAUCCAUAAUCUCACUAUCCCUAGAUAACUGCUAUUGAGUUUUGAGUUAGUUUCCUCUUUAUGUAUCCAAACUUACACAGAAAUUUUACACAUAUAUUUAUCCUGCUUUAAUGAAAUUCACAGCCUAGUGGGAAAUAGAAACAGACAAACAAAAACCGAACAAAUAGAUGAAUAUCUGCGACUAUGGAACGUCAUAGUAACUACUAACCUUGUGUUCACUGUUUUUGGGUAAAUGUUGCUAAUAAUGUUAUACCCCAUCUCCACAACCCAGAACAAAUCAAAGAUUUAUGUUAAUAA
rnacentral:lncRNA from 10 species